rnacentral:lncRNA from 1 species
AAAAACACAGUUUGUAGUUCGAUAAUCUCUGACCAUUGAUAACUUUUGAUCCAAUGGCCUUAAAUCAAUCUUUUGUUAAUCUUCGUCACUCUUUCUCAUUGGUUCACAUUGUAAAAGGUGGAUAACUCAUUAUUAAUCUCAGUCGUUGAUAAGUGUCAAUCUAAAAGAAGGAAUUAAUGUAUUUGAUUUAAUAUUUUCUUUAUCUUUUUCUUCCUUCUCGUCCCUGUCGAGACUUCAUGCUUCCUCUUCUCCUCUCUCAUUGUCUCUUCUAUUUCUCUUCUUCUCAUCUCCUCAAAGAAAAAAGACAGAGCAAGCAUCAACAAUCGUUGGUGAGAUUUAUGUAUUUUGUUUCUUCUCUUACGCUCCUCUGUUUUAAAAUUUAUUAAUGUUUUUUUUAUUUUCCAGAUCUGAGAAAGUGGUGAUGUGAUGAGGAACCACUUUCCGUUGCAAAUUUGUGAGGCAAAGUAUUCUCUUGCAAAUUUGCGACGGAAUUUUUUUUCUCGCAAAUUUGCAAUGAUAUUGCGAGCGUUUUUUAUUUGCGACGAGCGAUUUACAACGGAAUACGUUUCCUCGUAAUAAUCUCGCAAAUGGCGAUUUGUAACGAAAUUGCGAUGCUUAUUUCCCUUGCAACAGACUUGUUUUCUUGUAGUGAACGAAUUAUCCUACUACUUUUUAUCUCAUAUAUUAAAAAUUAUCUUAAUUUCCUGUUAGAAUAUAAUUACUCGAAUAUUUUU